rnacentral:rRNA from 2 species
GCCCGGUUACAUUCCGAACCCGGAAGCUAAGCCUCACAGCGCCGAUGGUACUGCAGGGGGGACCCUGUGGGAGAGUAGGACGCCGCCGAAC